GCUAUACACACUCCCAUGCCUCACGUCUGUUAUGGCGAGGAGGUGGGAUUAGCCAUCUAAUCUCCAACAAAUGAAAAUUCAAUCAAAGUUGCCUCCAAACAAAUACACCUCUAUUGAGUACCAUGCUUUUUGGUGACUGCUCCGGUAAAAGUCUCUGUGGUGGUAAUUUGCUGAACACUGGGAGAAAUGAGCAGUUUUGAGGAUGAGCUAUACACACUAUUCUGUAACAUUCUCGAAAAAUUACCGUUAGUCAUCCUCAAAUUUAUGAAAUUAUAAUUUAUUUAUUUUCUACGUCUCUAUUAUUCUACACACUCCGGAUCAAUAGGUGGCGCCUUGCACCCCCUUCAACGAUGGUCUACCUGGCGAAGUUUGCCAUCUGCCAAUAAUAACAACGAGGAAGAAAAAGAAGCGUAAGCUCAUUGGUUGUUUCCUGGGUGUGUUUUUCUGGUGACGCACUUCCCUUUUUUUUCCUCGUCUCUGAUUGGUUUCUGUCACGGCAGGGACCCGCCUAUUACAAACGUUGCUGGCUUUGAUGAACACAAUGUUAAUCACGCGAAUGAACGUAGCGUUAUCACCGGUAGUUAGCGAAUAUCACCGUUGUUUCCGCCUCGUCGAAGUGAAUUUGUCGGUGACUGAACUGAGUUUGCUAGAGUGGACCGAUGAAAACCUCCAGAAGCUGUACGCUGCAAUGAAAAGCAACCUCCCCGAGCAGAGCAGAACGUGCUCUUACUUCAGGGUACUGAAAGGUCUGGACUGGACUACGGUGGCUUUCCCUCCUUUCUCUGCUGAAGAGUGCCAAGCAAAGUGGGGACAAGUUUUGCACAAGAUGCGCAAGUAUCGGUCCCUCACAGAGCUCAUAGACGAAGCUGAAUGUGUCCUUUCAAAUACUCACCAACAAAGUGAGGCUGUAGUGAAAUGUCUUGUUGAGCCCAAGAUGCCAGCCCGAUCUGGUAAUUCCAUUUUUGUAAAAGAUCAGAUGGCACUUCUUAAGGAGCAAGUCCCAAAUGCAAGGAACCGCUUCCUCAAAGCCAACCAAAACUGGAAUGACCUCUCCACAGAGGAGAAGAAAUGCUACAAAAUAAUAGUACAACAAAACGCAAAAAAAUAUUCAAUGGACCUGCAUGAGUGGUUUAAGACAUUGACGGCAGCAGAACAGGAGGGAUAUAGAACAUCUAACCCCAGAAAAUAUAAGUACAUUGAAGCCAUACAUAGCAACCAUGAGAGGGAAGAACAGAACAAUCAUGAUAUGGAAGACCAGAACAAUCAUGAGGUGGAAGACCAGAACAAUCAUAAGAGGGAAGAACUUUGCCCAAACAGACCGUCAGAUUCAGAAGAUGAAGACAUUGAGGACAGCAGCAGUGACGAAGAAGAGGACGAUCUAAACAGUGAUGAGGUUAUAACGAGGGACGUGACUCCCCGGAGGAUCUCAACGUGCAGCUGUGAGUGGCUGCAUCACGUUCAAGGCACCAAUGCAUGUUGUGUUCACAAUCAUAUACAUGCACUGUAA
rnacentral:lncRNA from 1 species